GUGUCAGCAGCCGCGGUAAGACGAACCUUGCAAACGUUAUUCGGAAUCACUGGGCUUAAAGGGUGCGUAGGCUGUGCAGAAAGUUGGGUGUGAAAUACCUCGGCUUAACCGAGGAAUUGCGCCCAAAACUACUGUGCUCGAGGAAGAUAGAGGUGAGCGGAACUUAGGGUGGAGCGGUGAAAUGCGUUGAUAUCCUAAGGAACACCGGUGGCGAAAGCGGCUCACUGGAUCUUAUCUGACGCUGAGGCACGAAAGCCAGGGUAGCAAACGGGAUUAGAUACCCCCGUAGUCC
rnacentral:rRNA from 1 species